rnacentral:tRNA from 1 species
GGCCUCGUGGUCUAGUGGUAUGAUUCUCGCUUCGGGUGCGAGAGGUCCCGGGGUUCGAUUCCCGGUGAGGCCC